GUGAACGCUGGCGGUAGGCCUAACACAUGCAAGUCGAACGGCAGCACCGUAAGAGCUUGCUCUUCCGGGUGGCGAGUGGCGGACGGGUGAGGAAUACAUCGGAAUCUACUUUUUCGUGGGGGAUAACGUAGGGAAACUUACGCUAAUACCGCAUACGACCUACGGGUGAAAGCGGGGGAUCUUCGGACCUUGCGCGAUUGAAUUAGCCGAUGUCGGAUUAGCUAGUUGGCGGGGUAAAGGCCCACCAAGGCGACGAUCCGUAGCUGGUCUGAGAGGAUGAUCAGCCACACUGGAACUGAGACACGGUCCAGACUCCUACGGGAGGCAGCAGUGGGGAAUAUUGGACAAUGGGCGCAAGCCUGAUCCAGCCAUACCGCGUGGGUGAAGAAGGCCUUCGGGUUGUAAAGCCCUUUUGUUGGGAAAGAAAAGCAGCAGGUUAAUACCCCGCUGUUCUGACGGUACCCAAAGAAUAAGCACCGGCUAACUUCGUG
rnacentral:rRNA from 1 species